ACGCUCGACACCUACGGAGGCAGCAGUGGGGAAUAUUGCACAAUGGGGGAAACCCUGAUGCAGCGACGCCGCGUGGAGGAAGAAGGUCUUCGGAUUGUAAACUCCUGUUGUUGGGGAAAAAGAGGAUGGUACCCAACAAGGAAGUGACGGCUAACUACGUGUCAGCAGCCGCGGUAAUCUGAGGCGGGCUGGCAAGGC
rnacentral:rRNA from 1 species